GAUGAACGCUGGCGGCGUGCCUAAUACAUGCAAGUCGAGCGAACAGACGAGGAGCUUGCUCCUCUGACGUUAGCGGCGGACGGGUGAGUAACACGUGGAUAACCUACCUAUAAUACUGGGAUAACUUCGGGAAACCGGAGCUAAUACCGGAUAAUAUAUUGAACCGCAUGGUUCAAUAGUUAAAGACGGUUUUGCUGUCACUUAUAGAUGGAUCCGCGCCGCAUUAGCUAGUUGGUAAGGUAACGGCUUACCAAGGCGACGAUGCGUAGCCGACCUGAGAGGGUGAUCGGCCACACUGGAACUGAGACACGGUCCAGACUCCUACGGGAGGCAGCAGUAGGGAAUCUUCCGCAAUGGGCGAAAGCUUGACGGAGCAACGCCGCGUGAGUGAUGAAGGUCUUCGGAUCGUAAAACUCUGUUAUUAGGGAAGAACAAAUGUGUAAGUAACUAUGCACGUCUUGACGGUACCUAAUCAGAAAGCCACGGCUAACUACGUG
rnacentral:rRNA from 1 species